UCGUUUUUGGGCAAUUUGACCGAUUUUGACCAUAAAACCUGCGAGUGGCAGUUAUUUAAAGGACGAUUGACACAAUUUAUUAAAAUAAAUAAGGUGAGCGAUGACCAUAGAAGUGGAAUUCUGAUAGCUCAUCUUACAGAUGAGUCAUACCGUUUGUUAAAAAAUCUCGCUUAUCCUUCGGAAGUAGAUUCACUUACUUAUGAUCAGCUGAUUUAAUACCUGGACGACCAUUUUAAACAGAAGAAGUGCACAUAUGCAGAUAAGGCACGUUUUUAUGGAGCGACAAGGAACGUAGGCGAAACUUUAGGAGACUGGGCGGCGCGAUUGAGAGGUCUAGCUAGCUACUGUGAGUUCGGAACCGCCUUAGAAACGAUUCUAGCAGAUCGUUUUGUCCUAGGCCUAGGUUCAGGCUCUGAACGUGACAAAUUGCUCGAGCAUGAUGCGUCGUCGAUUAAAAUUGGACAGGCCUUAGAAAUAGCGGAGAAAGCAGAAUCUGCUAGGGAAGCAAAGGCUGUGAUGGCCGGUACCAGCACCAUCAAGGAGGAGCCCCUGUAUCGAGCGAGCAGCGAGGGGCGGUACGCGGCAGGCGGCAGCGGCGGAGCGCGGCGCGGCGGCGCGGCGGCGGCGCGCGGGCUCUGGCGGCGGGCCGCGACAACCAGCGAGCGGCUUCCCGGUGCUCCGUAUGCGGCAUGAAGAGUCACGAGGGUGACCGGUGUCGUUACAAGACCUAUCGUUGUCAAAAUCAGGAUAGCCGGCGAUUAUUCAGUCACAUUAAACAAAGAUUUAAUAAUCGACAGAUAUCCUUUACCUCGAAUCGAAGAGGUUUUUGCCAAGAUAGGAGGGGGGGAAUGUUAUAGUAAAAUUGAUUUAAAAAAUGCGUAUAAUCAAUUUUUGUUAUGCGAUUCGUCACAAGAACUUACAACUAUAAAUACGUCCAAGGGUCUUUUUAAAUACACUCGAUUAGUCUAUGGCUUAGCACCCGCACCAGCUAUUUUUCAGAAAUCGAUGGAAACACUUCUUUCCGGAAUCGAAGGUGUAAGUUGUUGGCUUGACGAUAUAUGCAUAACCGGUCCUAAUAAAACAAUGCAUCUCAAUAGGUUACGCGAAGUUCUAACUAGGUUAAAUGACGCGGGUUAGGUUACAACAGAAAAAAUGAGAAUUUUUCAAACAGAGUGUUACGUAUUUAGGGUACGUGAUAAAUAAGGAGGGACUGCAUACGUGCCCUGAUAAGGUUAGGGCUAUUAUUAACGCGCCAGAACCAAAAAACAUAACCGAACUUCAAAGUUUUAUAGGUGUACUGAACUACUACAGGAAUUUCAUUCCUAACGCUUCUAGCAUUAUAAGUCCCCUACACGAGUUGACGCGAGCGGGCGUGGCGUGGUAGUGGGGCGAGCCACAGCGCAGCGCCAUGCAGCGGGUCAAGCAGGAGUUGGCCUCCGAGCGGACGCUAGCGCACUUUGAGCCCUCGGCACAGCUGACGCUGGCAUGUGACGCUGGACCCGCGGGUCUUGGAGCUGUACUUUCCUUGAAGGACCAAACGGGCUUCGAGCGACCUUUGGCUUUUGCGUCAAGGUCGCUGACCGCAAGUGAACGUAACUACAGUCAGAUACAAAAGGAAGCUACGAGCUUGAUAUUUGGUGUGAAAAAGUUUCAUCAAUAUCUUUACGGCCGUAGCGAACCGUUUAUCCUUAAGACGGAUCACCGACCAUUGGUUUCCAUUUUUAAUAACAAUACAGGUAUAUCUGUGACCACGGCGCUUCGUCUUCAAAGGUAUGCAAUCAUAUUAUCGGCAUAUAAUUAUAUUGUGCAGUAUACGACUGGUAAAAGUAAUGUAGUAGCAGAUUAUUUCUCUCGAGCUCCGUUAGCGGAGACGGUAACCGCUACGGAUAAGGAAUUCGAUAAAUUGAGUUCAUUCAAGUUCUUAGAUUCGGUUUUAUCAGCGGUCACGGCAAGUGAUAUCAAGCAGGCGACAGAAACAGACACUGUUUUAAAAACGGUGAUAAAUUAUGUUUAUAAAGGUUGGCCACGUAAGGUAAGUUGUGAAACAAUAAAACCUUAUUUUCAAUGUAAAUCAGACUUGCAGAUUGAAAAUGGGACCUUAUUGCGCGGGCAUAGGGUCGUAAUUCCUAGUACGCUAAGACAAAAGAUGUUACUCCAAUUGCAUAGUUCACAUUAAGGCAUAAUAAAAAUGAAAUCCAAUGCACGUGCUCGUAUGUGGUGACCAGGAAUCGAUGCCGAUAUCGAGCGUUGGGCCGCUGCCUGCGUCACAUGCACCGCGCUGAGGUCAGCGCCGCCGAGAGAGGCACCGGCGCCCUGGCCUAGGCCGCCCGGCCCUUACCAUCGUAUUCACAUAGACUACAUGUCAAUAGGGCAAAGGGUAUACCUCGUAGUCGUGGACGCAUACAGUAAAUGGCUGGAAUGUAUCUAUAUGAAUAAUGGUACGACAACGCGAGAUUUAGUUUCCAAACUCAAGCGUUUAUUUGCUACUUUUGGGUUACCACAUGCAAUAGUUUCUGAUAAUGAUGCUAACAUAAAUUGUAAAGAAUUUAUAAUAUUUUGUUCCAGUAACAACAUUUAGUAUAUUACGUCACCUGUUUAUCACCCGAUUAGUAAUGGAAUGGCCGAAUGUUCAGUGAAAAUUUGCAAAAAAAAUGCUAAAAUGUAUUUUAAGAGAAAAUUUGAAAUUAGAAUUAGUACACGAAAAGUUAUUUAUUUGAGUAUAGAAACACUGUUCACUGCACCACGGGCGAAACACCGGCCAAGCUUAUGUUCGGGAGGAAUUUAAGAACGAGACUUGAUUUAAUUUUGCCACCCGUAAAACAAACUUGUUCUGAGCCUCCGCCUC